rnacentral:rRNA from 1 species
AACGAACGCUGGCGGCGUGCCUAACACAUGCAAGUCGUGCGAGAAAGUUCCUUCGGGAGCGAGUAAAGCGGCGCACGGGUGAGUAACACGUAGGUAACCUGCCCCCCAGUCUGGAACAACUAGAGGAAACUCUAGCUAAUGCCGGAUGAGACCACGAUCCCUUCGGGGUUGCGGCCAAGAUGGCCUCUACUUGUAAGCUAUCGCUGAGGGAUGGGCCGUGCGGGCCAUUAGCUUGUUGGUGAGGUAACGGCUCACCAAGGCUGUGAUGGCUAGCUGGUCUGAGAGGAUGACCAGCCACACUGGGACUGAGACACGGCCCAGACUCCUACGGGAGGCAGCAGU